AACGUCGUGAGACAGUUUGGUCCAUAUCCGGUAUAGGCGUUCGAACAUUGCGGAUAUUUAUUUUUAGUACGAGAGGACCGAAAUAAACAGACCGCUGGUGUAUCAAUUAUUAUACCAAUAGUAAAUGUUGAGUAGCUAAGUCUGAUAAAAUAAUUACUGAAAGCAUAUAAGUAAGAAAUUUUUUCCAAGAUUAUUGUUCGUAUUUAAUUUUUAGACACUGGUAAGACUA
rnacentral:rRNA from 1 species